CAGUAGCCGCGGUAAUACGGAGGGGGCUAGCGUUGUUCGGAUUUACUGGGCGUAAAGCGCACGUAGGCGGAUCGAUCAGUCAGGGGUGAAAUCCCAGAGCUCAACUCUGGAACUGCCUUUGAUACUGUCGAUCUGGAGUAUGGAAGAGGUGAGUGGAAUUCCGAGUGUAGAGGUGAAAUUCGUAGAUAUUCGCAAGAACACCAGUGGCGAAGGCGGCUCACUGGCCCGGUACUGACGCUGAGGCGCGAAAGCGUGGGGAGCAAGCAGGAUUAGAUACCCCCGUAGUCCCUGUCUCUUAUAC
rnacentral:rRNA from 1 species